AAGUCGUAACAAGGUUUCCGUAGGUGAACCUGCGGAAGGAUCAUUAACACGUAUCCAAACGUAAAAAACCCCCCCGUGAACAUUCAAUCCUGCUCUUGUAACCCGCGUAGUUCGCAAUCUCUGGUAGCUAUUCCAAAGGGUCCCCAUGCCCCCUUAUAACCCCACAGUUUAAUGUGAAGCUCAAUGUAAUACAUUGGGUAAAAAAACCGAACAACUGUUAACAAUGAAUAUCUUGGUUCUC
rnacentral:misc_RNA from 1 species